UACGGAGGGUGCAAACGUUGCUCGGAAUCAUUGGGCGUAAAGCGCACGUAGGCGGACCGCUAAGUCGGAUGUGAAAGCCCUCGGCUUAACCGAGGAAGUGCAUUCGAAACUGACGGUCUUGAGUAUGGAAGAGGGUCGCGGAAUUCCCGGUGUAGAGGUGAAAUUCGUAGAUAUCGGGAGGAACACCAGUGGCGAAGGCGACUACCUGGCCUGUUCUUGACGCUGAGGCGCGAAAGCUAGGGUAGCAAACGGG
rnacentral:rRNA from 1 species